rnacentral:rRNA from 1 species
AUACAUGCAAGUCGAGCGGACCUUUUUUAAAGCUUGCUUUUUGAAAGGUCCAGCGGCGGACGGGUGAAGUAACACGUGGGCAACCUGCCUGUAAGAACUGGGAUAACUUCGGGAAACCGGAGCUAAUACCGGAUAAUAUAAAGAACCUCCUGGUUCUUUAUUGAAAGAUGGUUUCGGCUAUCACUUACAGAUGGGCCCGCGGCGCAUUAGCUAGUUGGUGAGGUAAUGGCUCACCAAGGCGACGAUGCGUAGCCGACCUGAGAGGGUGAUCGGCCACACUGGGACUGAGACACGGCCCAGACUCCUACGGGAGGCAGCAGUAGGGAAUCUUCCACAAUGGACGAAAGUCUGAUGGAGCAACGCCGCGUGAGCGAUGAAGGCCUUCGGGUCGUAAAGCUCUGUUGUUAGGGAAGAACAAGUGCGAGAGUAACUGCUCGCACCUUGACGGUACCUAACCAGAAAGCCACGGCUAACUACGUGCCAGCAGCCGCGGUAAUACGUAGUGGCAAGCGUUGUCCGGAAUUAUUGGGCGUAAAGCGCGCGCAGGUGGUCCUUUAAGUCUGAUGUGAAAGCCCACGGCUCACCGUGGAGGGUCAUUGGAAACUGGGGGACUUGAGUGCAGAAGAGAAAGU